rnacentral:rRNA from 1 species
AUUGAACGCUGGCGGCAGGCCUAACACAUGCAAGUCGAACGAGUGGCGGACGGGUGAGUAAUGUCUGGGAAACUGCCUGAUGGAGGGGGAUAACUACUGGAAACGGUAGCUAAUACCGCAUACCAUCGGAUGUGCCCAGAUGGGAUUAGCUAGUAGGUGGGGUAAAGGCUCACCUAGGCGACGAUCCCUAGCUGGUCUGAGAGGAUGACCAGCCACACGGGAACGGAGACACGGUCCAUGAUCCUACGGGAGGGAGGAGUGGGGAAUAUUGCACCAUGGGUGGAAGCCUGAUGGAGCCAGGCCGGGUGUAUUAAGAAGGGCGUCGGGUUGUAAAGUACUUUCAGCUGGGAGGCGUUACCCGCAGAAGAAGCACCGGCUAACUCCGUGCCAGCAGCCGCGGUAAUUC